UGAAUCAGCAUGUUAUUGUACAUGAUCCGCCACGUCACCGAGUGAGGUGCCUGACGUGGGUAGACGAGGAUACACGUGUUGUUAAACAGAGUUGGAUUUGUGGUAAACGGUGAUCCGUAUGACAUGGACAAAAACAGUUUCCCCUUAUUCUUCGAAGAGAUUCCUUUGACCGGACAGAGAUAAGAGUAGGAUCAAUAUUGUAUUCAGUUAAUUCUAAUUUGUUUUAUAGUAACUAUUAAUCUACCCUUUUCAUUAUAUAUAUCAGAAAUUGACAUCUUUUGAACUUGCAAUCAAAAUUUGUCUGUAUUUGGGUCAGAAUCUAACAACUUAAGUUAGUGAAUAAUGUUGGUCUGUUUUAAGAUACAAACUUAGUUUAAUACACAUUAUCUAUAACCAAGUUUUUGAUGUUAUAGAUGGACAAAUUUAGGUUACCUAAAACAUAUUGUGACUACUUAAGUUUGACAAUAUAGAUCUUGUACUACUUUAUUAUAAUGGUAAAUUCACAUUUUAUCUCCUAAUAUUAUUUUUAAUAUAUUUUUUGAAAAGAACAACUAUUUUAAUAUAUUUACUAUUUUGAUUUAAAAUAAAGAACCUGCAUAAUAGAUAUUGAUUUUGUUUCAAUGUAUUCUUGUAUGAUAGAUAACAUACAAUGAAAAAUAGAAAUGACUGUUUUUUCUUAUAUAAAAAACAGUAGUUUAUAUAUAAAAAGAAAUAGCAAUAUGUUAAAAUAUAAUUAUUUCUAAGUGUUAUUAUAGAUGUAAAAUAUAAUUAUUCGGUUCAACUCCAAUAUAUAUUUUUCUUUUUUCUAAUUGUAUUUUACUAUGCAUGCCUUACACGUAAGGAGGAUACGCUUGAAAGCACGUUCUCUUGCGGCAAAACGAACCUUGUGUGCCAAGUGUUUACACGUCGAGAUGUAAUAAACAAAAAGGGUAGAGUCCCAGCAUAAUUUACUCUCUCUGUCUAUCAUAUAGUCAUUCUAAUCUCUUACAAAUAUUUAAGCUUGAACAUUUCGGAUGUUACUUCAGUUCAGUUUAAGUAUUAAUUUACGUACUGCAUAACUUAUUUUCAGUUCGUGUUCAGUUGGAUACUAAAACUAAGAACCUGAAAACACUCCAAAAUUUGGUUCAUAUUGGAUUCUGAUCGUGGUUCGGUUUUUUUAGAUAAUUUGGAUUAUAUAUUAUGUAUUUUAGAGAAAAUAUUGAAUAACUAAGAUAAUUCGGAUAAAAAAACUUUGGAUAAUUUAUUUUAGAUAUUUCAAACAAAACUAUUUGAAUGCUUUCGAAUAGUUUGGAUAUUUUAUAAUAAUUUAAUUUUAAAAAUAUUUUUUAAAAAUUGAUAAAUAGAUUUUUAUUAUAAAUAUAUAUAUUUGGGUAUCCAAUUUUUAGUUUCGUUUGGUUUUUUCGAGCAUAAAAAUGUAAAAACAAUUAGGAUAUUUGAAAGUUCGGUCCGAUUUUAAUUUUAGAUAUUUCAGUUUGGUCUGGUUUGGAUUUUCGGUUAUGAAUCUUUGCUCAGACCUAGAUAUUUAUGCUUUUAUUACCCAGAUAUUUUAAGAAUAAGAAUUAUAUAUUCUGUUAUUGAUAAAAAAGAAUAUAUAUUCUGUGAAUUAUAUAUUCUGUUAUUGAUAAAAAAUUAUAUAUAUAUAUAUAUAUUCUGUGAAGCAGAAUGGUCCUAAUCACUACCAAGUACCAAGAUGUCCGUCUCUUACAAGUUUCAACAUCAUUCGUUUUCUCAGACUCUCCUUGAGGUUCUACUAAUGUUAUCUGCAACCGUACGCUCUCUACUUCUCUCAUAUAGUCUAUUUGUACUGUGUAUUUGUAAAAGUCGUACAUGAAAAUGAAAUAUUCACGUGCGUAAUACCACCUCGUAUUUUUCAUAUUAUAAAAAAAUAACAUUGGUUGACAAAAAAAAAACAUUAUUUUCUUUUUAAAGUUCUUAAUAGAUGUAAUCUUUCUAAUAGUAGAUCGUCUGUAAUGUUGUAGAGGAGGAGGAUAAUCUUCUUCAAGGCUGAUUUUGUGGCGAUGAGAUAGCGGACAAGCUCGAAGAUGAGCCAUGUACAAACAACACCACAGCUGGAAUGGUUACUCCAGCUGGUUUGUAUCCCUAACAGGGUCCCUAUUCUAGCUUUAACUACAGUAUAUGAAUGAUUCGAGGUAUAUGUUCGGAGAAAAAGUAGAUGGUUGUGUUAACAAGUGGACAUGCAAAGUCCGUAAGAUUUAUGGUUGGGUUAGGGGUUGGGGGUUAUUGUUAAGUUGUCUUCAAUACGUACAAGUCUUCACAUCUUUGUGUUGACAUGUGAAUCGAAGAAUGUUCAAGUUGUGUUUCUUUAAGGGUUUUCCCCUCAACUAAAGAUUAAUCAUAAAAAAACAUUUAACUAAAAAUUCUGUGAAAUAAACCAUCAACUUUAAUUUCAUUAACAUAUGUUACCCUCCGUUUAAAAAAUCAUGACGGAAGGUGACAUACAUUAACGGUUUAUAAGUUGAAGGUUUAUAAUGUUGAAAACUUAGUUGAGGUUUUUUUUUAUAAUUUAAAAAUAGUUGAAGAAUUUUAUCACUAAAAGUCAUUAAAUGGUUUAAAAACUUUAUUAUCAUUUAUAUAUUGUUUUAUAUUGAUAUAAGCCUUUAAAACUAAUUUAUAAAUUUUAAUACAUUACUUUAUAACUGAUUUAUAAAGCUUCAUAAAUAUUUUAAUACUUUUACGUAUGAUUUAUACGGUUUCACAAUGAUUUUAUAAGUUUUUAGAAUUUCUGCUACUUGUUAGGAUAAAAUAAUGAGUUAUUAACAUAAAUAGACACAUUGUGUCUUUUUAUUACACUUUAGAACACAUUAUGCUACUGAGGUACUUCUCAGUGGUUGAAGACUUGUUUACCCUCCAAAAAGCAAAACCAAGAGGGAUACUGAGGUAAUUGGACGAUUCUUUUUAGUUGGGCUGGUUAGGUAUUUGAAUUUAAAAAAAAAAUAGGGUUUAGACUGGUGGACGUGAAACCUAGGUGAAAUUGAAUUUUGUUUUUCACACGGGCCCGGGGAAACUCUCGUCGAAUUAAUUUUCUUUCUUCAAUAAUAGUAAAACCCAGAAAAAAGUGACGAACGAGAUUUCCAACGGAGGACGUUUUAACGGCGGAGACUGAUGGAGAAGAAGAUGUCGUCGCAAAAGAGGAGAGAUUUCAAGGGCAAAGCAAAAGUUUUUACAGAGGUGGCAUAGGCAGAGGAGUAAGGGGUGAAUGAAGGAAGUUUUCAUAAUUUUGGGAUUAGGAUUCUGAUUUAAGAGUUUUCUAAUGAUGAGGUUUUCUAUGUACGUGUGUACAUUGUUAUGUGUGUGUACAUGUGUACACUAUUUUACAGAGGUGGCGUAGGCAGAGGAGGAAGGGGUGGAUGAAGGAAGCUUUCUUAAUUUUGGGAUUAGGGUUCUGAUUUCAGAGUUUUCUAAUGAUGAUGUUUUCUAUGUACGUGUGUACAUUGUUAUGUGUGUACAUGUGUACACUAUUUUAGACUAAUGUAUGCAUGUUAGGUGUUGUGUUUGCAUUCUGUAGACUUAUUAUAUUAUGCUAAUCAGAUGGUGUAAGAUUAUAUUUUGCGGUUUGAUUGUAUGAUAUGGACGUAUCAUGUCUGUAAGAAUGAUGGUUUUAUUCGGCUAAAAUAUCACGGUAGUUUGUGUUGUAUGUGUAAUCCUAAUGUAAGCAUGUUUGGUGUUGCUGCUAAAACAUGUUUGGUGU